rnacentral:rRNA from 1 species
UCAUCUCCUGGAGCAAGCUCUGACCGCUAUGCCGCGUGAAGGAUUAAGGUCCUCUGGAUUGUAAACUUCUUUUAUCUGGGACGAAAAAAGGUCUUUCUAGAUCACUUGACGGUACCAGGUGAAUAAGCACCGGCUAACUCCGUGCCAGCAGCCGCGGUAAUACGGAGGGUGCAAGCGUUAUCCGGAUUCACUGGGUUUAAAGGGUGCGUAGGCGGGCAGGUAAGUCAGUGGUGAAAUCCUGGAGCUCAACUCCAGAACUGCCAUUGAUACUAUCUGUCUUGAAUAUUGUGGAGGUAAGCGGAAUAUGUCAUGUAGCGGUGAAAUGCUUAGAUAUGACAUAGAACACCCAUUGCGAAGGCAGCUUACUACGCAUAUAUUGACGCUGAGGCACGAAA